UACGGGGGGGGCAAGCGUUGUCCGGAUUCAUUGGGCGUAAAGAGCGUGUAGGCGGCCAGGUAGGUCGGUUGUGAAAACUGGAGGCUCAACCUUCAGAGGUCGACCGAAACCAUCUGGCUAGAGUCCGGGAGAGGAGAGUGGAAUUCCUGGUGUAGCGGUGAAAUGCGCAGAUAUCAGGAAGAACACCCGUGGCGAAAGCGGCUCUCUGGAACGGUACUGACGCUGAGACGCGAAAGCGUGGGGAGCGAACAGG
rnacentral:rRNA from 1 species